rnacentral:rRNA from 1 species
UACGAAGGGUGCAAGCGUUACUCGGAAUUACUGGGCGUAAAGCGUGCGUAGGCGGUUCGUUAAGUCCGAUGUGAAAGCCCUGGGCUCAACCUGGGAACUGCAUUGGAUACUGGCGAGCUAGAGUGCGGUAGAGGAUGGUGGAAUUCCCGGUGUAGCGGUGAAAUGCGUAGAGAUCGGGAGGAACACCAGUGGCGAAGGCGGCCAUCUGGACCAGCACUGACGCUGAGGCACGAAAGCGUGGGGAGCAAACAGG